rnacentral:lncRNA from 10 species
ACACCAAUAACAGACAAACAGCCAAAUCAUGAGUGAACUCCCAUUCACAACUGCUACAAAAAGAAUAAAAUACCUAGGAAUCCAACUUACAAGGGAUGUGAAGGACCUCUUCAAGGAAAACUACAAACCAAUGCUCAACGAAAUAACAGAGGACACAAACAAAUGGAAAAACAUUAUAUGCUCAUGGAUAGGAAAAACCAGUAUCGUCAAAAUGACCAUACUGCCUAAAGUAAUUUAUAGAUUUAAUGCUAUCCCAAUCAAGGGCAAAUGUAUUUAGUUGGGCCCAUUUUGCUUAUUUUUCAAACAUUCCACAAUUACUUAUUAAGCUUCAACUUGCUCUAUGUAAACAUUGUUCAGGUGUCAGCCCUGGGUGUGGGCAGCAUCCGGAACCAGCAAAGCCCAGGGUGUAUCGCAUGCCAGCAAUGAGCAGACAGGGGGUCAAAGGACGGUCAGGCCACAGAGCCCAGGGACAGCUGAGGGAUGUAAAACAUGAGCGGAACAAGGUGAGAGGCAAGUGGCUGGAGAGAAAGAGCAGGACAACAGCCAGCAGGAGCUGCAGGGCGCAAGGCGUCACGCGUCAGCCUCCAAAUCAGAGAUGGCUUCUUGUUUUGUUCUAGGCUUCUCUGCAGUUCCUGUGGGGAAACGGGGAAUCCUAGGGGAGCUGGCCAAGCCCUGCAGGUGGAGAAAGGCGGUUAUUGGCACCUGACUGUGGGGCAUCUGGAUCUCUCUUCCCCUUCCUUCAUGCUUUGAGCAUAAAAGAAAUCCAGGCCGGGCGCAGUGGUUCGUGCCUGUAAUCCCAGCACUUUGGGAGGCCAAGGUGGGCGGAUCACGAGGUCAGGAGUUCAAGACCAGCCUGACCAACGUGGUGAAACCCCAUCUCUACUAAAAAUACAAAAUUAGCCUCUUACUGUGUCUGGCUUACUUCGCUUGGCAUGAUGUCCUCCAGGUUCAUCCGUGUUGUAGCGUGCGUCAGAAUUUCCCUCGUUUCUGAGAUGGAAUAAUAUUCCACUCUAUGAAUAUGCCACAUUUUGUUUAUCCAUUUGUCUGUCGGUGAACACGUGGGUUGCUUCCGCCUUUUGGCUACUGUGAAUAAUGCAUUUAUGAACAUGGGUGUACAAACAUCUCUUCAAGACCCUGCUUUCAAUUCUGGGGGGUGUAUGCCCAGACUGGAGGUCAUUUGACAGUUUUGAGCAGGUGAGUAACAUGAUUUUAUUUGGAUUUUUAAACCAUCCCUCUGGCUUGGUAACACAUAGGAUAGAUUGUGGGAGCAAGAGUGACUGCAGGGAGACUACUGCAGCUAGAAGGUCAUCAUGAGGCCCUGGAAAGAGAAGAGGGAAGAAAGAGGAGAUGAGGAGAUGUAAGCAACCAUCAGAUG